rnacentral:rRNA from 1 species
GCCCAGAUCGUUUACCGUGAAAAAAUUAGAGUGUUCAAAGCAGGCAGAUCCAAUUUUCUGCCACCGAAUACAUUAGCAUGGGAUAAUGGAAUAGGACCCUGUCCUCCUAUUUUCAGUUGGUUUUGGCAGCGCGAGGACUAGGGUAAUGAUUAAUAGGGAUAGUUGGGGGCAUUAAUAUUUAAUUGUCAGAGGUGAAAUUCUUGGAUUUAUGAAAGAUUAACUUCUGCGAAAGCAUCUGCCAAGGAUGUUUUCAUUAAUCAAGAACGAAAGUUAGGGGAUCGAAGACGAUCAGAUACCGUCGUAGUCUUAACCAUAAACGAUGCCGACCAGCGUUUAGGAGACGUUGUAUACCAGACACCAUCAUCGGUGCGGUCGUCCUGUCGUUGAUCUUGAGUGGCCCAGUUC